UACCCUAUUGUUUUAUUGAUUGAGGGUUUCAAAUAAGAAAUGUAAUAAAAUUACAGCCUCUUUGGUUGAAUGGAAUGAGCCAUUCAUUCAGGCCAUAUUCAGUGGGCCCACUACAAUGCAAUUUUCGGAUCAUUGUAAUCUGUUAUUACAGUCGGGUCUGUUUAGUUCUUUCUUCCUCAAAAACACAGAAUGUCAUUUCUUGCUCCCAACAUUGAAUUGUAAUUACACGCAUUGAGGAAUACAGAAAAAAACCAUAACCUACUAUUACUAUCAUUUAUCACUCUCCCUCACCAAGCACUUCAAGUCAUUACACCCCCAGUCAUGUUUCCUCAUUCCCGUUCGAUUUCAGAUAGUUAUGUCAGGCUUUUAAUAAUCAAGUGUUUCUUCCCAAAAUUCUCAAGGAACCAAAAGAAAAUGGGUUCCAGAAGAAGAUGUUGCAUUGGUUGAUUGUACAGUCAACUUGUACAAUGUUGGAACCUGUAAUAUAGAUACAAGAUUCAAGGUCAGUUAUUUAAAUGAGCUGAAAAGAAUGUUAGAAAAAUUUUUACCUCAUUCUAUGCUGAAGGCUAAACCUAAUCUUGAAUCGAGGAUUAAGACAUUGAAAAGGGAUUGGGCAAUCAUUUACGACAUGCUCAGUGGAAAAGACAACAGUGAUUUUGGUUGGGACGAGCAUAGGCAGAUGGUUGUUACUAAAGAUGCUGUGUGGAACUCAUAUAUAAGUAGUCAUAAAGCAGUCGGUCAAUUUAGACAUCACAGUUUCUCUUACUAUGACCAACUUACUUCCAUCUAUGCAAAAGAUCGAGCCAUUAAGAAAUAUGCUCAAACAACUACAAAUAUUGUUAAAGAAAUAGAUGUUGAGGAUGUAGCUACUGCAAAUAAUCUUGAAGAAGGAAACACUUACCAUGAAUGCGAAAAUGAUGUCUCCUUGGAUGAGAUGGAUAUCUAGGCUACACAAUCGCAACCGACAAAGACAAAUCAAUAUGGUUCCACAUUUUCAAAGAAGAAAACAAAAUUUAAUGGAAGUGAAAAAAUUUCUACUUUAAUUACUGAUGUUACCAAAUUAUUGGGGGAAAGCAUAAAGACUAUUGGCCUUGAAUUAAAACUAUAUACGGCCUUAUGUGAAGUAGAAAGAUUAACUGAGGAUGAGCGCUAUCGUGCAUUGAGCUCAUUUUCUUUAGUCUACAUUCUUUUGUGCGAUUAGAAUGGGUGAGAAGAUUUCUUUCUGACCAUUAAAAA